rnacentral:rRNA from 1 species
GACGAACGCUGGCGGCGUGCUUAACACAUGCAAGUCGAGCGGAAAGGCCCUUCGGGGUACUCGAGCGGCGAACGGGUGAGUAACACGUGAGUAACCUGCCCCCGACUUUGGGAUAACCCUCGGAAACGGGGGCUAAUACCGGAUACGACACAGCUUCGCAUGGGGUCUGUGUGGAAAGUUUUUCGGUUUGGGAUGGGCUCGCGGCCUAUCAGCUUGUUGGUGGGGUGAUGGCCUACCAAGGCGACGACGGGUAGCCGGCCUGAGAGGGCGACCGGCCACACUGGGACUGAGACACGGCCCAGACUCCUACGGGAGGCAGCAGUGGGGAAUAUUGCGCAAUGGGCGGAAGCCUGAUGCAGCGACGCCGCGUGAGGGAUGACGGCCUUCGGGUUAUAAACCUCUUUCAGCAGGGACGAAGCGUAAGUGACGGUACCUGCAGAAGAAGCGCCGGCCAACUACGUG